GACGAACGCUGGCGGCGUGCCUAAUACAUGCAAGUCGAACGCAGUGGGGACGGGUGAGUAACACGUGGGUAACCUCCCAUCAGAGGGGAUAACACUUGGAAACAGGUGCUAAACCGAUACUGAUGGAUGCACCCGCGGUUCAUUAGCUCGUUGGUGAGGUAACGGCUCACCAAGGCAACGAUGCAUAGCCGACCUGAGAGGGGGAUCGGCCACACGGGAACUGAGACACGGUCCAGACUCCUACGGGAGGCAGCAGUAGGGAAUCUUCGGCAAUGGACGAAAGCCUGACCGAGCAACGCCGCGUGAGUGAAGAAGGUCUUCGGAUCGUAAAACUCUGUUAUUAGAGAAGCGGUAUCUAAUCAGAAAGCCACGGCUAACUACGUGCCAGCAGCCGCGGUAAUUC
rnacentral:rRNA from 1 species